rnacentral:rRNA from 1 species
AGGGAAUAGAUACCCGGGUAGUCCUGGCAGUAAACGGUGCACGUUUGGUGUGGGAGGAUUCGACCCCUUCCGCGCCGGAGCUAAACGCGUUAAAAACGUGCCGCCUGGGGAGUACGGUCGCAAGAUUAAAACUCAAAGAAAUUGACGGGGCCCGCACAAGCGGUGGAGUAUGUGGCUUAAUUCGAUGCAACGCGAAGAACCUUACCAGGCCUUGACAUGCAUUUCUAAGUUGGUGAAAGCCAGCGAGUCCCGAAAGGGACAACUUGCACAGGUGCUGCAUGGCUGUCGUCAGCUCGUGUCGUGAGAUGUUGGGUUAAGUCCCGCAACGAGCGCAACCCUGUGAACUGUUGCCACCGGUCGCAAGACCGAGCACUCUGUUCAGACUGCCCUGGUGAAACGGGGAGGAAGGUGGGACGACGUCAAGUCAGUAUGGCCCUUACGGCCUGGGCUGCACACGUACUACAAUGCCCAGUACAGAACGAUCCGAGACCGCGA